rnacentral:rRNA from 1 species
GCAUAAUCAUUAGUUUUUUAAUUGAAGGCUGGAAUGAAUGGUUGGACGAGAUAAUGACUGUUUCAUAUAAAUUUAAAUUAGAAAUUUAUUUUUUAGUUAAAAAGCUAAAAUUUAAUUAAAAGACGAGAAGACCCUAUAAAUCUUUAUAUUAAGUUAAUGUUUAUUAUUAAGAAAUUUAUAUUAUUCAUUAAUAGUAAUAUUUUAUUGGGGUGAUAUUAAAAUUUAAUAAACUUUUAAUUAUUUAUUACAUUAAUUUAUGGUUAAUUGAUCCAAUAAUAUUGAUUAAUAGAAUAAGUUACUUUAGGGAUAACAGCGUAAUUUUUUUGAAGAGUUCAUAUCGAUAAAAAAGAUUGCGACCUCGAUGUUGGAUUA